GGUCUUAUGGUGUAGUGGUUAUCACUUGAGAUUCUGAUUCUCAAAACCCGAGUUCGAAUCUCGGUAAGACCU
rfam:Anncaliia algerae PRA339 unplaced genomic scaffold supercont2.13, whole genome shotgun sequence.